CGCAACCCCUGCUUUCAGUUACCAACGGGUCAUGCCGGGAACUCUGGAGAGACUGCCCAGGAGAACGGGGAGGAAGGUGGGGAUGACGUCAAGUCAGCAUGGCCUUUAUGCCUGGGGCUACACACGUGCUACAAUGGCCGGUACAAAGGGCUGCAAACCCGUAAGGGGAAGCGAAUCUCAAAAAACCGGCCUCAGUUCAGAUCGAGGUCUGCAACUCGACCUCGUGAAGGCGGAAUCGCUAGUAAUCCCGGAUCAGCACGCCGGGGUGAAUACGUUCCCGGGCCUUGUACACACCGUCCGUCACACCACGAAAGUUUGUUGUACCUGAAGUCGUUGGCGCCAACCGCAAGGAGGCAGACGCCCACGGUAUGACCGAUGAUUGGGGUGAAGUCGUAACAAGGUAAAGGG
rnacentral:rRNA from 1 species